AGUGAACGCUGGCGGUAGGCCUAACACAUGCAAGUCGAACGGCAGCACAGUAAGAGCUUGCUCUUACGGGUGGCGAGUGGCGGACGGGUGAGGAAUACAUCGGCAUCUACUUUUUCGUGGGUGAUAACGUAGGGACACUUACGCUAAUACCGCAUACGACCUACGGGUGAAAGCAGGGGAUCUUCGGACCUUGCGCGAUUGAAUGAGCCGAUGUCGGAUUAGCUAGUUGGCGGGGUAAAGGCCCACCAAGGCGACGAUCCGAAGCUUGUCUGAGAGGAUGAUCAGCCAAACUGGAACUGGGACACGGUCCAGACUCCUACGGGAGGCAGCAGGGGGGAAUAUUGGCCAAUGGGGGCAAGCCUGAUCCAGCCAUACCGGGUGGGUGAAGAAGGCCUUCGGGUUGUAAAGCCCUUUUGUUGGGAAAGAAAAGCAGCAGGUUAAUACCCCGCUGUUCUGACGGUACCCAAAGAAUAAGCACCGGCUAACUUCGUG
rnacentral:rRNA from 1 species